ACUUUUUUAUGUUUAUUCAAGUUUUAUUACGUUUUGAAAAAUGUAUUUACAUCGAACAUUAGAUAUAUUUAAAUGGCUCUUUACACAAUAUUAUUUGGGAUCAGUAUUUUCAUGAUAGCUUUGGUUAUCGCGGUAAUUGAGAAGAUGUUUUUUCAUUGGAAACACGAACAUACUAUCGAAAGAACAUCUUUGGUUGCUGUGGAACGGCCAGCGGUCAGUUUAAUGAUACGUACUUCGAGGUGUUUCUUCAAAUGUCGCCAGUACGCCGAUGGGAGUUGCGUGUAUGACGUCAUAGACAAAUCGGACUCCCCAACUAACGGUUUUGAAUCUGUGGCCAACUGAUUUUUUUUCUAAGAGUAAAUAAAUGACAGUCCAAUUUUAAA